CUCGGGGUAGUUUGUUACAGCGUAAAAUAUGUCACUUCCUGUUGCCAGUAGGUGGCGCUAUGACUAUAACUGAAUAUGGGCAUAUCAAUCUGUUCAGGUCAGGAGUCUUAUCAAUCAUGUGAAGUUUGGGGCAGAUUGGACAUUGUAUGUCUGAGUUAUAGCAACUUCAUUUUUCAUGGCGAAUCAUCGAAAUUCGUCAGGCCGCCACGGACACGCCCUUCAACGAAAACUCAAGAUCUUCGCAAUUUAACAUCGCAAAGGCCUUUAGAUUAGGCAUACCAAAUUUGGUGUUGAUCUGAAUAAAUCUCUAGGAGGAGUUCGUUAAAAUACAAGGCAUGCAAAUGACAAAAAU
ensembl:lncRNA